AUCAAUUCUUGGCCUUUUGGCUAAGAUCAAGUGUAGCAUCUAUUAUUAUCAGUUUAAUAUCUGAUAUGUCCUCUAUUUGAAGACAAUAUAUUAAAUGGAUUUUUGGAGCAGAGAGAUGGAAUAGGAGCUUGCUCUGUCAACUCCACGCAUCGACCUGGUAUUGCUGUACUUCCAGGAACAGUGCACCCCCU
rnacentral:snRNA from 1 species